rnacentral:rRNA from 1 species
GACGAACGCUGGCGGCGUGCCUAACACAUGCAAGUCGAGCGGAGAAAUUAAAGCUUGCUUUAAUUUCAUAGCGGCGGACGGGUGAGUAACACGUGGGCAACCUGCCCUUGAGAGGGGGAUAACACAGAGAAAUUUGUGCUAAUACCGCAUAACAUUUAGACUUCGCCUGGAGUUUAAAUCAAAGGAGUAAUCCGCUCAAGGAUGGGCCCGCGGCGCAUUAGCUAGUUGGUGAGGUAAUGGCUCACCAAGGCGACGAUGCGUAGCCGACCUGAGAGGGUGAUCGGCCACAUUGGAACUGAGACACGGUCCAGACUCCUACGGGAGGCAGCAGUGGGGAAUAUUGCGCAAUGGGGGAAACCCUGACGCAGCAACGCCGCGUGAGCGAUGAAGGCCUUCGGGUUGUAAAGCUCUGUCUUUGGGGACGAUAAUGACGGUACCCAAGGAGGAAGCCACGGCUAACUACGUGCCAGCAGCCGCAGUAAAAC